rnacentral:rRNA from 1 species
UGUGUAUCAGUACAUGGCAUAUCAAUAAGCGGAGGAAAAGAAACUAACAAGGAUUCCCCUAGUAACGGCGAGUGAAGCGGGAAGAGCUCAAAUUUGAAAUCUUAAAGGGUUUCCCUUUACGAAUUGUAGUUUAAAGAAGUGUUUUCUGUUGGAGUUUCGGUAAAAGUUCUUUGGAAUAGGACAUCAUAGAGGGUGAGAAUCCCGUAUUUGACCGUUACUUUCCAGCUGUGUGAUACACUUUCAAAGAGUCGGAUUGUUUGGGAAUGCAGUCCAAGAUGGGUGGUAAAUUUCAUCUAAAGCUAAAUAUUGGCGAGAGACCGAUAGCGAACAAGUACCGUGAGGGAAAGAUGAAAAGAACUUUGAAAAGAGAGUUAAACAGUACGUGAAAUUGUCAAAAGGGAAGCGUUUGACACCAGUGUUGUUUAGUUGAAAAUCAAUUCAAUAGUUUUUGAUUCUAAGUAGUAUUGACUUCAUCAGCUUGCUGCUUUCUUCUCAGAAAUUAUUGAAUGCACUUUUCAGUUAACAAGUCAACAUCAAUUUCUUUUGUUGUAAAAGGGUAAGAGGAAGGUGGCUUGCGCUUCGGCUCAAGUGUUUAUAGCCUUUUAUCUCUGCAAUCGGAGAGAUUGAGGUCUGCAGCGUAGAUCCUUCGGGGUUAGAUACAUUGGUGCUAAGCUAUAGCCUUGUAUAGACAACUUGUUGACUAUGCUCAGUCAUGUAGCUUACUCGCUGAUGCUAUUUUACCUACGCUUAGGAUGUUGAUAGUCACAGCGUGUAC